AAUAAUAUACCGCGUUGUCGAUGCGCGAUGCAAAUCAAGUUGCUUGAAUUCGCUUUGUAGUCAGGCGGAGAUUCCCUUGCAAUUUGAGAACAGAAACGUUAAUAGUAAGUGUUGAGAUGGCCGAAGAAGGGGAAUUGUCAUCCCCAGAUGAACUGGAAACAAGCUGUGAUGGAGUGGAGCUCAAUGUUUUAAAAGACAUACUUGGCGAGCCAGCAAAUGAUGAAUUUGCUGCUGAACUAGAUACACAAGCAAAGACAAGUGCACCUAGCAGAAAAAGAAAAGCAACCAGUGAUGAAAAAAAUGGUACUUCUAAAGUAAGGCAUGUGCUGGACAGUCAAGCCAAAGAAAACAGUUCUUCAAGUGGUCAAACCUCAAGAAGCUCAAGUCAGUGUCAAACCAAGGCCAAUGACAAGACGCUUAAGACUGCUCCUUCCACUGAUUUAGAGUCAGGUGAUGUUGAUAAGGAAAAACUACAGAUGAAGGAGAAGGAAGAAAAAGAGCGACACAAAAUUAAACUUAAGGAGAAGGAAAAAGCCCCAAAUUUAAGUCAGCUUGAAACUGAAAGUGUAAGCAAGGAAAAGGCAAAGGAAAAGGACUCUUUAAAAAACAAACAAAGAGAUAUGAAGUGUCUUAAGAAUGAUUCUGACACCAAAACUGGUGACAAAGAAUUGAAGAAAAAGGAAGAACAGAAGUCAGUAACAACUGAAACUAAGGAAGUUUUAGAAAAGGAAAAAGAAGAGAAAACAGUGGAGACUGUUUGCAAAAAGGUAGCUAGUCCCAAAAGCAAAGAAACUUUGAAGAAUGCCAUGAAAGACAGCUCUAAGAAAGAAACAGGAAAGAAAGAGAUGAAGAAAAAAGCUCUUGAGAUCAUCAAAGGACAAGGUAAAGUUACAAGAGAAAAAGUAAAACCAGUUCCGGGAGAGAAGACAGACACUGAAAUCCUAAUGAAGAAAGAUGCAAAGCAAAGUGUACUUUGUAAUCCAGCUGAAAUGAGAAGUAGCAAAAGCCAGGAUCUGCCCAGUUCUCCUGCUGAAAAAAUUCAUCAAAAGCAGGCUCAUGUUGGAUUGAUAGGAAAGGAUGUUGAGGGUGGUGAAGUGAAAAACAAAUCCACUGAAAAGAAAUCUGCUACUCACGUAAAAUCUAAGAGAUCUAAAGUUGGUAAAAGUAGUCGAAAGGAAACCAAGCAAAUGGAACCUGCAGUGGAAAUGGAACAAGAUGAGAACAAAGUGCAGGAUGUGGAAAGUGUUGCUGAACCUGUGGAAGAGAGUAAACAAAAGAUUCAGGGGCAUGUUAUGGAUGAGUGUGGUACUGAAGAAAAUAUGGAAACAAAAGGUACAGAUGAAACAUUAAUAGAGACUUUAGUGGAAAACAAAGCAGCCUGUGUGGAAGAGGCAGAGGCAGCCAGCAAAUAUGUUGUCAGUGAGGAUAUGGAAGUGAUUGAUGAUCUGGAAGAGGGUAGUGAGGGUGCCAGUAAUGAUAGUGGAGAUUUUAGUGAUGCAGAUGGAGGAACAGCUACACCCUCUUCAUCAGGCACUUCAAAAUCAGAAUCAGAAAAUGCAAGUGACAGAGAACAAAAACUACAAGAAGAAAGGACUAAAGUAAAGAGAAGGAAAAGAAAGGCUGCCUCCCCAGCAGUAGCAACCAAAUCUAGUGAUGAAAGUGAUAAUUCUUCAGUUGAUAGUCCGCUUCACGUUAAAAGCAAAGUGGCAAGGGCAUCAUCCAAAGCCAAAAACAAGUUCAAUUUAGAUGACUUCUUUGAUGAGGCACGAUACUUUGUGAUGAAGAGUAACAAUCAUGAGAAUGUAGCACUUUCAAAAGCCAAGGGUGUCUGGUCAACUCCCAAGGCUAAUGAAAAGAAACUGAAUGCAACAUUUAAGCGAUAUAAAAAUGUCAUCCUGAUCUUCUCUGUAAAGGAGAGUGGAAAGUUCCAGGGUUUUGCCAGACUUGCAUCUGAAGCCAAACAUGGAGGCCAGCCAAUGCCAUGGGUGUUGCCUCCUGGAAUGAGCGCAAAGGCCUUGGGGGGAGUAUUCAAACUUGAGUGGCUCAACAGGAGAGAACUUUGGUUUAGCAAGUGUUUACAUUUAAGGAAUCCUUGGAAUGACAACAAAGAGGUGAAAAUAUGCCGUGAUGGACAGGAAGUGGAACCUUCUGUAGGUGAAGCCCUUUGUCGAUUGUUUCCUGAAGAUGAGACUGUGGACCUCAACACAUCUCAUCACUCAUCAGAGAGACGGCGUAGGAAGGAAAAGGAUACUGCUAGGAUGUGUGGGAAUGUUGUGAUCAAGCAUUACAUCUGCUCUGAAAUGGACUUAAGGCCAUUCAACAGCCUAGGACAAUACCUCAAUGGAUUUACUUCAAAAAGACUUUUCUGUUACUUAUCAAGAUCUUAUAUUGAAAAUGGACUUAUCUUCAGACUGAAAUUUUUAUCUGCGACUCCGGGGUUUUAGCUCCUUUAAGCAGAAGAACUUACAAAUUUACAGAUGCUUUCCAAAGUGUUCAAAAGCUUUGCCAACAAAGAAAUUAUUUUUGUGUUCAAGCGGAAAUUCCUAUUGCAAAGUGCAUUUUUCCAAAGGAGAUGAUUAAUGUAAAGAGAGUUAAAUUUAGAUAACUGACAUUAAUCAUUUUUCUGUCAUAUAAAUUUGCACUACCAUCCAGGAGUUUACAACACCUUCUAUUUAACCAAGGAUCUACAUUUUGAUAUAAACCUUCUAUCAUGUCAGGCCAGAUGCUAUUUAUAGGGGAUCAGAGUUCUGGUGUAGGGAAUGCUUCAAGGGACCAAUUUAAGUGUUAUGUCGCAUACAAGACAUGACUGGACAAUAACUGUUUGUGUUGUCACAGUUCCUUAAUGCGUUCCUGCAUCCUGAGAGUGUAAAUGCUACAGUGCAAAUCAAUUACGUUUAUCAGUGCUUGAGUUUGUGACACACAAAUGGUGUUUUUAUGCAAACACAUAAGAUGUCAACACCUCUGGAUGGUCUAAAACAUCUGAAUAUUAUCAUCCUUGGGAUUUGAAAGAUUAGUCAGUUGAGCUAAUGGAGAGCUCAAGAAAGGGACUAAAUAUCUUCAUCACCUAGUACGAUAUUAUGAUGUCAGUCCACAAUCAGAGUCUGCCAAGGAGUGCAAGUGGUAGUUGCUGUAUGGAGGUGACAGCGCUGUGCUUCCAUAAAAAUUAACAUGUUUUUAACAUGCUUCUUGAUCUUUAUUAAGUUAUAGCAACUGCUUUUAUCAUGUUUGGUACUUUGAAUGAUAUGUUGUUAUGAAUGUGUACUCUUAUCCCUGGCAAGACAGUUUGGCUGUUCUAACCGCCAACAACCAGCUGUUAAAGAACAUACCUUUAAUUCCAGCUGUUUCUUAUCAUUAGGCAUCGUCCUAGACACUCUGAUGAAAUUCGCAAAUCAAAGAGAAAACACAGAGUUUCAGGAUCAAGACACCAUUCACGAGACCACCAUGAUUCUCUACC